ACCGCGAAUGGCUCAUUACAUCAGUCGUAGUUUAUGGGACAAUAUGACAGGUGGAUAACUGUGGAAAAUCUAGAGCUAAUACAUGCACAAAAGUCCUGACGCAAGAAAGGACGCAUUUAUCAGAUCAAAGCCAACGUUUUCGUAAGAAAACAAAACUGUGACGACUCUGGGUAAAUUUUCGGAUUGCCCCGCCUAGAGCGGGCGACGUUGAUUGCAAGUGUCUGACCUAUCAACUUUUGAUGGCAGUCGAUAUUACUGCCAUGGUUGUAACGGGUAACGGGGAAUCAGGGUUCGAUUCCGGAGAGAGAGCAUGAGAAACGGCUGUCACAUCCAAGGAAGGCAGCAGGCGCGCAAAUUACCCAAUCCCCGAUCGGGGAGGUAGUGACGAGAAGUAGCGAUGCCGCAAUCUUUUGAUUCGGCAAUUGAAAUGAGAACAAUGAAAGAAUUUUAUCGAGAAUCUAUUGGAGGGCAAGUUCUGGUGCCAGCAGCCGCGGUAAUUCCAGCUCGAAAAGCGUAUGUUAAAGUUGCUGCGGUUAAAACGCUCGUCGUUGGACAUCAGGAAAUGGUCCGUGGACGGCCUAGAGUCGCUACCACGGAUUCACUCCUUUUUAUGCCAGUUCAUCGUUGAUGCACUUUAGUGUGUGUCGCGGUAGAAGGUCAAUGUCACUUUGAGAAAAUUAGUGUGCUCAACGCAGGCUUUAUGCUUGUAUAAUGCUGCAUGGGAUGACGGAAUAGGGCCUCGGUUCCGUUUCGUUGGUUUACGAAAGCAGAGGUCAUGAUUAAUCGGGACAGACGGGGGCAUUCGUAUUGCGGUGCUAGAAGUGAAAUUCUGUGACCAUCGCAAGACGGACAACUGCGAAAGCAUUUGCCAAGAAUGUUUUCAUUAAUCAAGAACGAAAGUUAGAGGAUCGAAGACGAUUAGAUACCGUCCUAGUUCUAACUGUAAACUAUGCCGACUGGGGAUUCGCCAGUGCAAUUUAGCUUGGCGAGCACCCUCCGGGAAACCAAAGUGAUUGGGUUCCGGGGGGAGUAUGGUUGCAAAAUCGAAACUUAAAGGAAUUGACGGAGGGGCACACCAGAAGUGGAGCCUGCGGCUUAAUUUGACUCAACGCGCGAAAGCUUACCCG
rnacentral:rRNA from 1 species